GACGAACGCUGGCGGCGUGCUUAACACAUGCCAGUCGAACGGAAAGGCCCUGCUUUUGUGGGGUGCUCGAGUGGCGAACGGGUGAGUAACACGUGAGUAACCUGCCCUUGACUUUGGGAUAACUUCAGGAAACUGGGGCUAAUACCGGAUAGGAGCUCCUGCUGCAUGGUGGGGGUUGGAAAGUUUCGGCGGUUGGGGAUGGACUCGCGGCUUAUCAGCUUGUUGGUGGGGUAGUGGCUUACCAAGGCUUUGACAGGUAGCCGGCCUGAGAGGGUGACCGGCCACAUUGGGACUGAGAUGCGGCCCAGACUCCUACGGGAGGCAGCAGUGGGGAAUAUUGCACAAUGGGCGGAAGCCUGAUGCAGCAACGCCGCGUGCGGGAUGACGGCCUUCGGGUUGUAAACCGCUUUCGCCUGUGACGAAGCGUGAGUGACGGUAAUGGGUAAAGAAGCACCGGCUAACUACGUG
rnacentral:rRNA from 1 species